rnacentral:rRNA from 1 species
UACAGAGGUGGCAAGCGUUGUUCGGAAUUACUGGGCGUAAAGAGCGUGUAGGCGGCCCGGUAAGUCCGCCGUGAAAGUCCAGGGCUCAACCCUGGAAUGCCGGUGGAAACUGCCGGGCUGGAGUCCGGAAGAGGCGAGUGGAAUUCCUGGUGUAGCGGUGAAAUGCGCAGAUAUCAGGAGGAACACCAAUGGCGAAGGCAGCUCGCUGGGACGGUACUGACGCUGAGACGCGAAAGCGUGGGGAGCAAACAGG